AAGUGCUUAUCUAACGGCAAUUCUUGGUUUAACGGUGUUUUAUUAUUUUUCUCCGUUAACUUUAACACUACACGUUAGUAAUCGUUAGUGAUCGUGCGUAUUGAAGACUAGGUUUCGACUCCCCUAAACCCUUCUUCUUCCCAAAGGGACCACGACAAGGGCUUUGAGACCGCCAACGAUGGCGAGUUUGGGCGUAGCGACAGAGAGCAGAACAACCAUUCCCAAUCGAAUGACCAGGAGGACCACUCGCAAUCGUUAACAGACACCAAAUAUUUGUCUCUUCCCCCUAAAUAUUUGAUCGAGGCAAAUGGUGAUGUUCCACCAUUGAAGCUAUCUUAGGAAACCCAGUUCUCUUUUCCUUACCUCUACACCCAACUUUGAUCUCUCUUUGUCUUCAUUACUGGUCUCAAACAUGAUUGAUCAAGCUGAAUCUUUUUUGCCAUGUAUUCAAGUUUAUUCUUAACGAUUACUCUUUUUCUCUUCUUGUCAUUUUGAUUUUGACUUGGAGGAUUUAUUGUUUUACGGCAUGAUUUAGUUUUAUGGUCAUUAUCUCUGAUUGUUUCUUAAUAUAAUUUUGAAGAAUCCCUUCACUUUAUUGUGAUUGUCUCUGAUUGUUUGUUGAUGUAAUUUCCUUGUUUACUAUUAUCAUUUUUCUAUUAUUUUAGUUGAUGCCUUCUACAUUUCAGCAGUAUGACCUUUUCUUAAUUAAAGUUUUUUAUUGGGGUUGAAUUAAAAACUAUUAUUUGUCAGUUCUAUUUGAUUCAGAAUAUUUAAGGUUGAAAAAUGUGGUGCAACAGUUUCAGGAAGUAUAAGUUGCAUGCUUGUAAUUUUUGAAAUGAUUUCAUAAGUUUAGUUAUUAAUUUGUUAAUGGCUUUUUAUGAUUGUUAAGCUUGGAGAAUCGUUCAAUCAAUAUGGGUGAGUCGUUAUGUUUAUAGCUCAAGUGUUAAUAGUUGAUUCCCCUCAUCAAUUGAUAAUAACAACUUCGUUUGAAAUAUUUUUUAGGGAAUGUUUGCUUUCAUCAUAAUUUCUACUAAUCUAGGGAGCUUUGAUCUUUGCCAAAGUGAGAUUCAAGGAAAAUUAGUAAUUGGUAUCAUUAUGUCUACCAACUUUUCAUUUUGUAUGUUAUAGCAUGAAUACUUCAAUUAAGCUGGGUUAAGAUUGAUUUUGUAGGUUCAAGUCAACACGUGGACACAAUAAAAAUGAAAUGGCAAAGAAAUAGAUUAGUGUGGAUUUGAGAAAAUUAGUAGAACAAAACAGGGCAAAUUUUAUCCCACCAACAUCAAGAAUGACUAAUUACAUUCUUCUUAAAUUCGACGAGCUUUCUCAAACAAAUGCGAAGUUGACGAUCUGUGAGGGACACGAUGGAACCGAGUUUUCAAAUGGAGAUGUGACCAAAGUGAGGUCUGCCUGUGAUGACGAUGACCAAUGUAAAAGACAGCAACGUGGCCCAACCAUAGUUGGCUCUGAAGAUGUACCCCUUUUUCUCCUCCUACCAGCAUGAGUGGGUUUCAUAAUUUUUUUGAAACCAGUUGUUCUUUGUUUUAUGAAAUUCCUCUUAUAAUUUUGUCUAGGCCCACAACUCUUCCCCCUAGACUUGAGAAAAGAGUAUUCUAGCUAUCUAAGUUAUAGUCCUGUAUUUUUGGAGUGUAUUAUUACUUCUCAAGGGCUUAACUACAAAUGAAAUUUCUCUUACAAUUUUAAUGUUAAAUACAACCAUUAAGAAAUAUCAGAGUCCUGUAACUUUGUUUUAAGGUGACUUUGGACAGUAUAAAGUACAUAAGUCUUAUCUUUGUUGUUAAGGUAUGUUACUCAUGUUUUUGGGCUUCCUAAAGACCCCAUUAUAAUGAAUUCUUUAUUAUCCAAGAA